UUCGCAAUGCCCGAAAGGGUGACGAAGCGACGCCGCGUGUGGGAAGAAGGCCUUCGGGUUGUAAACCACUGUCGGGAGUCAAGAAAUACAAGGAUAUGAAUAGUGUCUUUGUUUGACUAAGGCUCCGGAGGAAGCCACGGCUAACUCUGUGCCAGCAGCCGCGGUAAUACAGAGGCGGCAAGCGUUGUUCGGAAUUAUUGGGCGUAAAGAGCACGUAGGCGGCUAUGUAAGUCGGUUGUGAAAGCCUUCCGCUCAACGGAAGAACAGCAUCGGAUACUACAUGGCUUGAGUGCGGGAGGGGAGAGUGGAACUUCUGGUGGAGCGGUGAAAUGCGUAGAUAUCAGAAGGAACGCCGGCGGCGAAAGCGGCUCUCUGGCCCAUAACUGACGCUGAGUGUGCGAAAGCUAGGGGAGCAAACGGGAUUAGAUACCCCGGUAGUCCUAGCCGUAAACGAUGGGCACUAAGUAGAGGGGUUUU
rnacentral:rRNA from 1 species